rnacentral:rRNA from 1 species
AUGGCGGCGGAGGAGGGGGCGACGAAGACGUUCCUAGUCCAGAGCGAGGACGGCAUGAAUUUCGUGGUGUCGGACCUGGAGGCGAGCCAAUCCUGGGUCAUCGAUAGCGACACCGUCUGCUACGACGGCAAGCCCAUCCGCGUCGACGUCGGCGGCAAAACACUCACCAAGGUUUUCCAGUACUGCAAGAAGCACGCCUACUCCGACGGCUACGAUGUCAGCGCUUGGGACGCCAAGUUCAUCGCCAAGUUCAUCGGCGACCCGGGCCUCGAGACACUAUACGAUCUCAUCCUGGCUUCCAACGAACUUAAAAUCGAAGGACUGCUUGCACUGACCUGUCAGACUCUCGGCAAUAAGAUUAAGGGCAAGUCGCCACAUGAGAUCUGUGAUAUACUAAACAUCAGGGGUGUCUUCACUCCGCAAUUACAUGAAGAGCAUUCAAGUGGAUCUUGUGCUAGCCACACGGCUUUGGCAGCUAUGGGAAUCAUUGCAAAUUGGUGGAACCUAGAGCUAAAAUUGGUAGAUAAGGCCUUACAGGCUCUCCACGUAGUUCGUUGCCAGGAGUUCACCGGAUACGAGCCCAAGAUCAAUGGUUUAGUACGUCAUCGAUUCAACGACUUCAACCUAGCCUUCUUUGACUUGGAUAAAGAGACUAGCUUUUCCCGUGGCCCACCGCUUAACAACAAAACGCCAACGCGUGAGUCGGUCGUGAGAUCAUGUGUCAAUGUCGUUUCCUUGAAGGUAAGGGAAUCAGACGUUGGCUUUCCGGUCGACAUAUUUGGCACCGUUGUUGCAAGGGACUCUGUGGACUACAGAUGUGUCUAUCUGUUUCGGCGUGAAAGGGACGAUCCCCAACACAUCAGCUCGCCAGAUGAUAUGUUAUCUUUGACAGAUCCGUGUCGAGGGCUUGUCCCGGGAAGCAGUGUUUAUUUUGAGAUCGAUUUAAAGAUCAAGUGUGAUGGUUGUGCGGACAAAGACUUUAGCAAAGGCAUGGUAGAAUUCGAUUCGGUCCAUCUUUGUGAAGGCAAGGUGACCAUGACUCUUGGGCUAGGUAGUUGGCUGAGUUGGGUGGAGUUGUUAUGUGCACAGGUCUACUGGCCUGUGGAAGCCACAAUUGAAAUAAAUGUUUUGAAGGGGCCGUGCAAUAUCUCAAAGGUAGCUGCUUCGACUCCUGGAAACUUCAAGGAUCAUAUCAUUCUAUACGAAGCAGCGGGUGGCCCGACGGUAAUCGGUGACGGUGGCUCUGUUCCGUUGAAUCGUCGUGUUGUUGCUGUCACACGGGAGCAGAAGCUGGCGCUCUUUAUUGUGGGUGGCGAUGCACUUGAACACCUUGCCCUCACUCUAGGUCAUUCCCAAGAAAUGGUCAAUCGGAGGAUGGGCUGUGCUGAAGUGGAGGUGAAAGUUGCCUGGACAGCUGUCCCUAUAAGGAAGAGAUCUAAUAUGAUUAAGGUUGUGGCAAACCAGCGGCUAUUGCUGUGA